AUUGAACGCUGGCGGCGGGCCUAACACAUGCAAGUCGAGCGGAUGAGGGGAGCUUGCUCUCUGAUUCAGCGGCGGACGGGUGAGUAAUGCCUAGGAAUCUGCCUGGUAGUGGGGGACAACGUUUCGAAAGGAACGCUAAUACCGCAUACGUCCUACGGGAGAAAGUGGGGGAUCUUCGGACCUCACGCUAUCAGAUGAGCCUAGGUACGAUUAGCUAGUUGGUGAGGUAAAGGCUCACCAAGGCGACGAUCGUUAACUGGUCUGAGAGGAUGAUCAGUCACACUGGAACUGAGACACGGUCCAGACUCCUACGGGAGGCAGCAGUGGGGAAUAUUGGACAAUGGGCGAAAGCCUGAUCCAGCCAUGCCGCGUGUGUGAAGAAGGUCUUCGGAUUGUAAAGCACUUUAAGUUGGGAGGAAGGGCAGUAAGUUAAUACCUUGCUGUUUUGACGUUACCAACAGAAUAAGCACCGGCUAACUUCGUGCCAGCCGCCGCGGUAACAC
rnacentral:rRNA from 1 species